AUUUUGCUAGUUUAGCAUAUUGAAUUUGAUGUAGUGAUUUUUUUAUAAAAAUCAGGAGGGGAGUGUGCUGGAUUCCGGAUUUUUUUUUUUAUAUUUGUCCGGGAUUGGUUUUGUUUUGUAUGUUACAAAAAGCUCCCAGCACGUUCACGGCAUGGUACCCGUACUCAUGCAUUUUGACUUCCAACUUUCCACAACUUCAUGGCACCAAAGUUAUUUUACCCUCCCUGGAGGUUGUCUCUCUGCCAUUAAAAGUAAAGAAACAUA